rnacentral:lncRNA from 1 species
UCAACAAGAAGUUUUUCAAAUCUUCUGGAACAAACCUUGAUAUAAGCCUUGAUGAAUUGCUCACUGGGGUAGCCCAUUCGAGGAGUCGAACUAAGAGCGUGUUGGUGGGAUGCAUGCUAAGGACUACAUUGUCUCAUAUGGUGAAUUCAUAUACAACCAGCUCAUUGGCUUACAGACAUCUUCAAAAAGCAGUCAGGUACAUGUGCUUCCUGCCCUAGGAGAUGAAUGUAGCCUGAAAAUUUAUUUGUUAAAUACUUUAAGGUGUAUAACCUAUUAACGUAGACAACUCACAUGCAUAUUGAACUAAAAUUAAUCCCUGUUGUGUGUGUGUAUAUAUAUAUAUAUAUAAUAUUAUUGGACUCCAGGCUAUGGACAACAACAACAAGAGGAUGAAGGCACAACAACUGGCUG